rnacentral:tRNA from 1 species
GGGUCUGUCGUUCAAUGGCAGGAUAGCUGGCUCCAGCCCAGUAGACGGGGGUUCGAUUCCCUCCAGGCCCA